GAUUCUGUUAAUCUAGCCUUACAAUAAAGUAGAAUUAGUUCAUCUGGUCUUGUUUCCUGUCUGGUUUACCUAGGACGGCUGAUUUCCUGUUACAUAUUACACCAAGUUUUAAUUGUUUUGGCUUUAGCAUGAUGUUUGUAUCUAGCCAUCAUGGCUUGCAAACAAGAAAUUAUGGUUUAGCAUAAUAUGUGAGAAUCAGACUACGAGGCUGGCUCAAUCAACUUUAGUUAAAGAAGCCAUAAUUUAAUGUGCUGUGUGAAUCAAACAUCUAAGCCAUAUGAUUCUUUAAAAGAACUGUGUGGUGUGAAAGCGUAGCAUUUGGUGAAUAGUGACCUGAUUUGUUCACUGAACUAAACUGUAAUCCCAAUUUGGUGCAAACUUUGCCCACAUUGAAUACUCUCUCCAAGCCAAGAGGUCAGAUACUCUGAUGGCAGGGAGGGUUUCCAUCCACAGUCCAACUGAUCCCUUUACGCACUAGAAGGAGCUCAGCAUGCAUGGGAAGCUAGGAGGUGAAGAAUCAUUUCAACGAGAAGGUGGUGACACAUUUGGUAAAUAAAAUAAAAAUAAAAAAUAAAGUGGAAGUCUAACCUCUACAGGUAGCUGUGUUUAUGUUUCUGCCUUUUGUUAUGCCUGAACACUAUGGUUCAUUUCUUGAAAUCUCCCCCCAAAUCCCUGCCAUUUCAUGAGCUUCUGCUUCCCUUUUUCUCCUUGAACUCAGCCUGCUACUUUCUGAGCAUCCCUGCCUUCCAUUCAGCAAGAAACAGUAAUAAUAAGAACUCAAUGCAUUGUUCAGAUCAGUGACAGAGUCCUCUUGCUGGAUUGUUUUUUAGGCCAGCUUUAAAUAUAUUCAAUUUGAUACAUUCCCCAUUCAUUGUCAAUUGUUUCUUAAGCUUUGCCCUUAUACCACUAGUCUCAAAUGUUAUUUAAUGCACUGUAUUGGUUGAUUAUGAAAUAUAGUGUCAUUUUUGGACUUCUGGAUCAUAUAAUUAAAUUAGAAUACGGUCCCAACAAAAUUGGUGCUACGGCUGGUCCCAGUUUGUAUGAAAACCAUGGCUUAAGUCUACCAUAGUUUUCCCAACCUGGGCAACUUCCGGAUCUGUGGACAAGAGUGUCUAGGUGGGGGGAAAGUUGGUGAAUGUAACUCCAGUUCUGCCCCUAUUGUAUGCACACGUGAUGUUGACACACUUACUUAUGUGAUGUGGAGCUCGCAUCAUAACACUGUGUCUGCUCUCUUGUCUACUUUAACACACACACACCCCACUACCACUGCUGCAUGUAGAUAAAAGCCCAGAACUGUCAGCAUCCUCCUCCCCUCCCGCUGCCCCAGACUGCAUUGGAAAAAUACAUUUGAAAGUACAGCUCUAGAAGAUGCAUACAACCAGAAGCAAUAACUUUAAAAAAGAAAGAAAGAAGAAGGAAAUUUCCUUGGGGAAAUUUGCGUAAGGAAAGUUCAAUGUGGGAAGAGCGAUAUCAAGAUAGAGAGAUUCAGGUUGAGAGAUAAAGAUAUAUGAACAUGUGUUAACAGUAAAUUAGGGAAAGGCUGAACAUUGAAUUUGUUUAAUUUAAAUAGAAUUAAAAUGAAAUGAUUAGCAUGAAUAGGCUUAUUCCUCGUCUAUGGCCAUUUUUGGAGAGGGUGUGCCCAAGAUUUCAAAGGGCCCCUAGUUGAACACCCAAGCAGUGAGUUUGACCAACCUCGGAGCCACCUGGAAGUAGCUGCUUCCCUGUGAAUGUUCCCAGCAUCUCUGCCAGUGUGCCCCAAAGCUUUCCAGAUGCCAAAUCAUCUCUGAACAGCAGAAUGAUUUUCAUAAAAAAGAAGAAAAAAACAGAACCCCAAAUUCCUUUCCACAACCAAAUGUCUUCAGAUGCUCUGCAGCAGCACUGGAAAGCUGCAAGAACGUUAAUUCUUCAGGGAAUCUUUCCAAGAAGAACAAACAGUGCUUUUCAGAUGUGAUCAGGGUUUACUGUGUAGCCCUUUUUACAGUUUCUGAUGAUCUGCAAAGCAAAACGAGCAUAUCAAAGUCUUCUGGACAGGCUGCAUGGUGCUACAAUAGAGACAUCCAGUAGGAGCUGGCUGGAAUAGUCUGAAUUGUGUUUUUUUCUUCAUCAUUAAUUUCUUUCCUUACUAAAAAGAGAGCAAGAGUGCAGGGUAAGGCUGAAAAGACAGCAGGAGAGAAGCAAGGGAAGGUGUUGUGGUUCUUUCCCCCCACCCCCACCCUUUUCCGCUUCACUAUUUCUCAGAAGUGUUUGUUCAGUUUUGUAAAACAUUUGAUCUGUCCCAAAGACUUGACCAAAUUUACAGUUUCCCCACCAGCUCGGAUCCCAGCUCCAGAUACUGUCUUGAAUCAUGAAAAUCCUACUCAAUGUCUGCCUCUUUGCAUGUCUUCUAACUAUGGGAAGUUCUUUGCAGUGUGAGUCAUGUGAAGGCUUGGGAGAUACUUGCAAAGGACCUUUGCAAACUUGCUCAGAUAAUAUGGAUAAAUGUGGCAUUUUUCUGGUGGAGAACAUAGUAGAUUUCCAUGAUUUUCUAUACUUCUGUGAAAUCCCAGGAAGCUAUGAAGGAACUCUUUCAGUGCAUCCAGCAAGAGAAAUCUAACUGAAAAGAAAAUCUCCAGGAGUCUCACGGCACAUUGGAGCUAUAGAGGAAGCACAAAAAUAGUUAUUCGAAAGACAUUUUCAAUAUAUUUUAAUUUUUUCUGAAAAUAAGGUAGAAAAAACAGAACAAUACUUUGCAGAAGAAGAACACUCCAGGGAAACCAGGGGAUGGAUUUGAAUUCAGGGUUUGCUUCGUAACUGUUAACACAGCUUUAUAGCAUUGUCACUCAAGUUUUUUAAAAAAUUAUUACGGGUAAUCCUCGCUUAACAACCAUU